rnacentral:piRNA from 1 species
UGAUGAAGCUCAAGGCAUGAAGGUCUAUA